rnacentral:rRNA from 1 species
UACGAAGGGGGCUAGCGUUGCUCGGAAUGACUGGGCGUAAAGGGCGCGUAGGCGGCACACACAGUCAGGCGUGAAAUUCCUGGGCUUAACCUGGGGGCUGCGUUUGAGACGUGUGAGCUAGAGGAUGGAAGAGGCUCGUGGAAUUCCCAGUGUAGAGGUGAAAUUCGUAGAUAUUGGGAAGAACACCGGUGGCGAAGGCGGCGAGCUGGUCCAUUACUGACGCUGAGGCGCGAAAGCGUGGGGAGCAAACGGG